CAUAUCCUAUUUAGAAGGCAAUACCGAUAGUCAAUAGUGCUGAGGCGGCAUUAACACAAGUACGUGUGAUUAUUUGCUUGAAUUAUCAAAAUAAGGAUUUUGGGUGUAGUACACAUCGGCCAUGCAUGCGGGCCCACAAGAGGAGAAUACCAGCGAGAGAUAUAGCAGCCUAUGGAUAUUUACCGGCCGGUUUGAAUCACGUCGAUGCAAACGACUGGACCAGGAAGUUCAAACAGAACGGCUCCUGAAAUUUAGAGACAAGCGUCCAGCCGUUGUCCAUGCAUGGUGCUCACCCAGCGACGAUUCUACCGGCCAGGCUUCGAUAGGCUCUAGCCUACCCUCUGCUUUGAACAAUCAUCUAUUGUGCAUGUGCGGGUGUGGCAUCUUGAUCCAUGAUUUUGUAUUAGCGAUUUCAAUCAAGGGCAGGAGAAAACCCAAAGGUUUUGGUGGGUCAACCACAACAGCCUAGCUAGGCCUUGCGGUACAUGAUAUGACCCAUUUGAGUAGCUUUAUCCUUGCAGCGUAGAAUAAAACCCACAUACCGUGGGUGAUUUUGCUUGGCAAUGGCAGAUUAUAUUAUGAGCUUUGCAUUGAUUAUGUAUUUCUAAUGCUAAAACUAUGAUUAUUUGUCAGUCCAAUUAUGCAUGAAUUAAUUAUGGAAGAAACUGCUAAAUACUUUGUUGCACAAAAAAUUAUUUUCGGUUUUAGAAGACGAAAAUGAUUUUAUUACUAGUAUCUCUCGACAAUCUCUAUGCGUGAUUUCUUCUUAAUUUUGUAAACUUGAUUUUUUUAAAAGAAUUUUGCUAUUUUCCUGUACCCUAGUUAUGGAUAACAUUUUUCAUGCUAAAUUUAGCUUAUGGAUUUUGUUGUUUAAGCCUAUCCUCUAUUUUCAUCCUAGAAUCGCCACUGUGCUCACCGUUAUCUCUCAACGGGUUGCAACGUACGGCGAGAGGAGCUAUAAGAAGACUACCUAGUUGAUUGCCAGGGGGGCAGGAGUAGGAGGAGGAUUGUGGCCAGGCUCUGCUCUCAAUCUGCGAUACACAAACACACAAACAGAUCAUCUGCUCUCCGGCCAGCACACAAGCAUACGCACAUAGAUCACCGUCUCCCCUUUUAUUCAUCCCGUGGCUUCUUCAGGAUUCGCGAUGACAUGGUGAGUAGAUAGCACAUGAAGGUGCCAUGCGAUUAACUUUCUCUCUCUUAGUUGCAGGUUAUUUCUAAUAUUCGUGAUGUCAGCGGUUCUACACGACGCCGUGUUGUGGUCACCAAUGGUUAAAAAAAGAAAGAUAAAUAGAUACUAUGGCAUCCGUGACUCUACAUGGCGCCGUGUCGCAGUCACGGAUGGACCACAAUUGCCGUCUAUAAAUUCGUGAGGUCCGCGGCUCUACCGACGCUGUGUCGUCAUCACGGACGGUUAGAAAAAGAAAGAGAAAGACAUACUAUAGCAUCCGUGGCUGGCGCCGUGUCGCAGCCAUGGAUGUGGCGCCGUGUCGCAACCACAGAUGGACUACCAUUGCCGUCUAUAAAUUCGUAAGGUCCGCGGCUCUACCCGGCGCCGUGUCAUCGUCGCGGACGGUUAAAAAAAGAAAGAGAUGCUCUGGCAUCCGUGGAUCUACCAUGCGUCGUGUGACCAAUUUUGACAUCAUCCGUUUCUGCAUAUUUCUGAUAUCUGCUGCUCUAUCCGACACCGUGUUGUCGUCUCAGAUUGUCGCUGCCACGGAUGGACCAACGACAUCAUCUGUUUCUACAUAUUUGCGAUGUUCGUGUCUCCAUCGGGCGCCAUGUCGUCGCCGCGGUCGCCACGGACGGUUAAAAAAAAAAUGAGUCUAUGACAUCCGUGGUUUUACCUGACGUCGUGUUGCUGCCACGGAUGAACCAUCGUCGCCGUGCAAUUCUACAAAUUCGUGAUGUUCGUGGCUUGCAAAAUUUCGGUUGGCCGCAGUGUAGGAGUCAGAAGACAGAGACAAGAGAGAUGAUAUCUCCGAGAGCACACGCAGAAGCUACAAGAGAACACACUGAGGCUACGCUCGAUCCGGAAGAAGAAGAAGAAGAAGAAGAAGAAGAAGAAGAAGAAGAAGAAGAAGAAGCAAACAAGUGUGAUGUGCAGCUCCUAAUUUCACCAUUUGAGAACCAUUUUGGUUUGUUAAUCAUGUAAAACAAUGCUUAUACAUGUGGUAUAGGCUGAAGUAGAAGUUGUUUGCACAUGUUAGAAAGCUGAGGGGGCUGAAUGCAAAGCUUUCUAUCUUGGCAUCUCCCCUUGCUCGAAAAUAGACAGAGAGUUGAGUCUUGUGUGUUCUUGAGAGCUCUAGGGUUAGGGUGAGAGGAAAUUAUCUGAUCUACCAAAUCCACCUAAAUUUGUGAGAGAUUGUUGUGGGAUUAGAGCCUUCCCAUCCUUGUUGGCUUCCAUCUUGUAUUCUCCAUCUCCAUAGUGAAGCUCCGUGCUCGCCGCCACCCGUGGUUUUUCCCCGCAAGGGAUUUCCACGUAAAUCUCUGUGUAUUCUCUUGAUUUGGUGAUUCCCUUGCUAUAUGUGUUGCUGUUCAUCAUAUCUACUUGCUAUUGGCAUAUAUUGCUCAAGUUUGGUGCUAUUUCGUUGAGUUGACACUUGACGUUUGAGAAUUUGGCGUGUUCAGAUUUGAUAUACCGCUUCAGAUUUGUUCCAUGCACGCAAGGUGUUGGUUGAAAUGCUUGUGACCAGUAGCUUGGUGUUUUGAAGGUCUUCUUCCGUCCCUAUGUGCUCACAACAAGAAACACGCAGUUCACCACAUCUGCUUGGCCACGAAGGCCACGUCCAGGAGGAAGGAGCAAUGAGUAAGCUGUCCAGGAGGUUGACGUGAAGCAACAAAGCCAGCAUUGAUCCAUCCAUGGCGAUGUUUUUUUUCCAAUGACUGCAGCGGGGGAGUUAGAAGACGGGAAACAAGACCCCAGUACAGCAUUAGCAAGCAGCUCACCAAGACACCAACAAUAGAUUGAGAGCCACGUCAAAGUUCACAUCCGCACCACUGCAGGCUUUCGUCAAGUCGCAGAAGCCGGCAGAGAGGCUGUAGAAGAGUUAAUUGUUCGGGGAUUAGAGGAACCAACCAGCAGAACGCAAACAUCACAACACACGUGACAAGUCAUCUCCAAUCUGCGCAACGUCCACACCAUGAUUUCUUCAUGAUACAAGCAGAGCGGCCAUUUACUUCAAUCUCUGGUGUCUUCAGUUCAGGAGCAGAUCGCCGGGAGCCUAACGGUCCAUUUCACGCUAGUUUCAUGGCAUCCGUGGUUCUACCUGUAGCCGUGUCGCUGUCACGGAUGGACCAUCGUCAUAUAUUUUCUAUGGCUCUACCUGUCACCGUGUCGUUGUCGUGGAUUAUUAAAAAAAGGAUUACCUCGCAUUCAUGGCUCUGUCUGGCGCCGUGUCGCAACCACGGAUGGACCCCGUCGCCGCAAGCCUCAAUCUACAGAAAUUAGCAUCCUGGUGGCAGCAAUAUGCAUAAACCUAGUGACCGACAUGUCCAUCUACCACAAGAAUUAAUUCGCCAUGCCAGAUUGACUGUGAUUAGGAAUAUGAUGAUAAAAGAGCAAUGUUGCAACACCCGUUGUUUGUAAACAAUCAUAUAGUGGACUUGGCCUUCGCGCCACCGUGGUUUUUUCUCAAUUUGGGUUUCCACGUUAA